rnacentral:misc_RNA from 1 species
CGUAUAAGAAGAUUGAAACGAACCAACUGAUGGCGUCUAUACAGCUUGGUAUCCAUGACAGUAUCGGAGGUCUCGCUAAAUACCCGGAAAGGGAUUUGUUGAUGCAAGAUUUUAUGAAGGUUGAGACAAUUCAGUUUCCUAAAGGAGGAGGUCCAACCACACCCAGACAUUCAUUCUCAGACUUUACAUUCAGAACUUGUGCGCCCGUGGCUUUCAGAUACUUCAGGGACCUGUUCGGGAUUAAAGCUGACGACUUCAUGAUGUCUAUCUGCAAUGAACCUAUGCGUGAGUUGUCUAACCCUGGAGCUAGCGGAUCUAUAUUCUAUUUGACUCGAGAUGAUGAAUUUAUCCUGAAGACUGUAAUGUAUAAAGAAGCAGAAUUCCUACAGAAACUACUGGCCGGAUACUAUAUGAAUCUUCAACAGAACCCGCACACCCUUCUUCCUAAGUUUUUUGGAAUGUUCUGUUACCAGUGCAACCAGAAAAAUAUCAGACUCAUAGUGAUGAAUAACCUUCUCCCUUCUUGUGUCAAGAUGCAUUUAAAAUUUGAUCUUAAAGGAUCCACGUACAAACGAAAAGCCUCUAAGCAUGAAAGGAGUAAAAGUUCCCCGACGUACAAAGAUCUUGAUUUUAGUGAGUUACUUCCUGAGGGUAUUCUCCUAGAAGCUGAGACCUACACCGCCCUGAUGUCUACGAUGAGAAGGGACUGCAGGGUCUUGGAGUCUUUCAAGAUUAUGGAUUACUCCCUUCUUGUCGGUGUGCACAACUUGGACGUGGCUGCGCGCGAGCGUAGCGAAGGUGUCGCCUCGCCAUCAGAAGGAGGUGGAGGGGGAGGUGAAGGAGGAAAAAAUUUACAGCGUCAGAAGCUGGUAGCGCACAGUACAGCCAUGGAGAGUAUUCAAGCAACAAGUGAUCCUGUUGAUAUACCUACAGAACUUCCGUCGGGAGGUAUACCUGCUAGGAACCACAAGGGGGAGCGCCUCUUGAUCUUCCUUGGUCUCAUCGACAUCCUGCAAUCCUACAGGCUGAGGAAGAAGUUGGAGCACACAUUUAAGGCCAUGAUCCAUGACGGGGACACCGUGUCGGUGCACAGGCCAGGGUUUUACGCCGAGAGGUUUAUGAACUUUAUGGCCGGGAAGGUCUUCAGGAAGAUUCCCUCAUUGGACUUACCGGAAGUGAAAGGAAACCACAGGAAGUUUCGACUUGUGGUGGCCAGUUUGAUAGCAUUGAAGCAUUCUCCCAGUAAGCGGACCAAGUCCAUAAAGGGAAAGGGAUCAAGUAGUGGACAAAACCAUAGUUCUCUUCCUACUCCCAAACCUGUACAGCAAGAUGAAAGUCGGGAAAUCUCUGAGGAGGCUGGUCUUCUUUCACUUAAUUCGGAAGCAGAGGGUACCUGUUACCUGCCCUCUGUACUACGUGACCGGCCUAGUACCGGCCGGAGUUCACGAGGGAUCCCACCUCCGGUUCCUCCGCGUUCACCAAGGGCUAAAGGAAAUGAUAGAGGUGGAUCCCGACCUGACGUAGUCCCUGACCGAUCUAGUCUAACCGUAGGACGGACAUCUGAGGGAGAUUGGAACUAUUCUAACCAUAGUCCAGGACUCAGUCCUCAACCAGGACGCAGUCCUAGGACAAGAUACAUUAGUGGUGAUGUUGUAAGUGUGAGUGAUAUAAAGCUUGAACCCCGACUAGAUGACACACCUUCUAAACUCUCUACAACUAUCAGUUCAGGUCGGACCGCUACACCAACAUGGACCGAAGGAACACCGUCGUAUACCGAGUCAACUAUCAGUGAAUUUGGAACCCCUGCCCGAAGUCCACACAAUCGCGUUCUGAUGCCCCCGGAUCGCGCAAAAGAGGACCAGAUCGAUAUUGGCGCGAGUGCAGCGAAUCACAGCUACCACGAAACCGAGAUGGUGAGUUCCCUCGCCGGAACAGAAACUUUAAUGUGAUCCUUCCUCCCGUUAUUUUUAUUCAACUUGCCUUAAAGCCGGUCUCUCCCUUUAAACCAACUCCGGUUACAUCUUAAUUACAAUCCCAUAUCUACGAUGUAUGUAUGUAGCUUGAUCUUCAGACAAAUCAAAUUGUUAAUUUAGUGAAUUACAGAUAUUUUUUCUUUUGCAAUAGAUGUACUUAACAGUUUAAUGUACACCUUUCACAUGUACGUUAUAGCUCUGUAAAGAUUGUACACUUAACAGCUGUAAUCAUUGUAAAUAUUAGUUUUCAGCUGUAACAGUUUACUUGGUACUGUACAGCUAUAAAGUACAUUUUACAACUGCUAAUGACGUAGAUUUUAUUGUACAGCUAAAAUAGUGUAAAGUGAACCCAAAUGUACUGUACAGUGUUCAGUUGUUUUACUUAGUUCAUGGCAUU